UACGUAGGCAGCAAGCGUUGUUCGGAAUUACUGGGCGUAAAGAGUGUGUAGGCGGUGCUCUAAGUUCGGUGUGAAAUCUCCCGGCUCAACUGGGAGGGUGCGCCGGAAACUGGAAUGCUUGAGCGUGGGAGAGGAAAGCGGAAUUCCUGGUGUAGCGGUGAAAUGCGUAGAUAUCAGGAGGAACACCGGUGGCGAAGGCGGAUCUCUGGGCCAUUACUGACGCUGAGGAGCGAAAGCGUGGGGAGCGAACAGG
rnacentral:rRNA from 1 species